rnacentral:lncRNA from 1 species
UUGGUCCAUUUAUCUAUUAAUCUCAACAACUCAACAAUAUUUAGUACCUGAUGGAUUAAAGUAGCUACCAUUACUGUUAAUUUAUUUGGUGGACGUCCCAAAAGUUUUUUUCUUCACAGAAACAUGAAUUCAAAGGAGGCUAUGAGGUCAUUUCAUUUGACUCUAAGACUAGAUUAUUUCUCUAUUGGUGACGGACGGUUUUAGGUAAUUAACGUGGUAGAAAAAAUGAGUGACGUGAGAAGUUAUUGACAUGUUAAUCUCAAAAUCUGAAUAGGUCCUAAUAAUAAUAUCAUAAUUACAAACAUUAUUCAACACCAUAUGUAAUUAGAGAGAUUAUAGAAAGAACUAUUACCAUUGCGAUUUAAUUUCAAAAUGUUGGUAAAAUUGAAUUCGGCACAUACAAAAAUCGCAAAUAAUAAUGCAACUAAAAAUUAUAAGCUUUACCAGUUUUGAAGAAAAUAUUCAACUAGUUGAACAAUUACAGAAACAGAAAUACAAAAACUAAAUAAAAGAAAUACAAAGAAAUUAUUUUGCUAAGUUGUACAAUCGCAGUCUCCAUAAGAAAGAUUUGUCGCCUACUUAGAGUAUUGUUGGUUGUUGUCGACGUUUUCCUCCUAGGAUGAAACGUCUAAAACCACUAAUUUCAAAAUACCUCCGAAGUAACCUGCGAAUGAAUCUACGACCGUCUCUCUCACACUCAAAUGAAAACUCAGAAAAAAUAUUUUUUCUCGAUUUGUUGUGUUGCUUCUUCUCCUCACAACAAAAUCAAAUUUCUUUUUUUAGAGAAAAAUAUGACUUUCAAAGGUAACUCCCAGCCAUAAAACUCCCCUUCAAAACUGCAGCCAUAAAGACUAAUUAUGUCUACCUUUUGGGCUACGAAUAACUCAAAAUAGAGCUGUUAAAUCAGUUCAGGGCUUCAUUCACACCAUGAUUUUUAAUACAAAUUGUCACCGCCACAUCAUUUUGAUGCUAAUUUUUUUAUAAAAAUUCUGAUAAAAUAAGAAUUUCCAAGAAUAACAAACUUUUUAUAAUAUUUGCACUAAGCUAGCUAUUAAAUUCACAUACAUUCGGUCGUACAGAAAUUGCCCUUGCCUAAACGCGCUUACAGAGACUUGAUCAACGAACACAACAUUUUUUCUACAUCCACCUUCACCGUCCUAACUUUGUUUAUUUUCAACAAAUUAGAAAAUAAAAUAAAUACAAAUGAAAAAAUAUGACGGUCCAUGGAUGAUCAAUAGGGCAGCAGCCCUAAAAAAUCACACCCUUUUAUUAUAAUCCUGUGAUGCAUUGUCUGAGUACUUCUCCAAUCGUUAGAAUAUUUUUUAUUUUUGUGUUUAUUUUAUUGGCGCGUUGUAUUCUAUUGUUAAUCCUUUGAAUGAUAUAUAUAUUUAUAUUGAAUACUUACUAUUGGUGCUAUGGCGGCCACAUCUCUUGUUUUUUUCUUAUUUGUGUUUGGAGACUUGGGAGGGCAAGUUGUGGUUAUUGUAUUGAACUUAGGUCAAUGGUUAGAUUAGGCCAUUGAAGUGGGUGUUUUAAAAUAUUGAUUUGGGUUGUAUUUGCUCAACAAACUAUCACACCAUUGUCAGAAAAUAUAUUAUUUUGAAAACAGAGAAGAUGACAGUUUGAAUUAUUGACUUGUGGGAUAAUGGUAACUCAAAAGGUUGCUUCCCCACUUUUGGACGAAAAAAUGAUUUCCUUCUAAAAAAUUCAUCUAUAAAUACAAGAAGUAUUAUGUGAUAAUGGCAUUUUAGUAAGUAUUGAGUCCAUUUGAUCAGUAUUUGUGUGACAAUAAUUAAAAAGGGUUCAAAUUAUGCACAUGCAUUUUGUAUAUAACUCAUGUAUAGAUGUUCUGUAUCUAAUCAUGUAUAGAUUUUUCUGUCCUAUUACAUCUUACUCUUUUUGAAAUGACCAUUUCAUCAUAAAUGAACACUAGCUAAGACAGUAUUUUGCACGAGUGAGCUUCAAAAAUAUAAAAUUAAGUACUACUAUUGUCUUAAAAGUUAAAGUAUUAGAAUCUCAAUUCUUAACUGGUGAUAUUAGAAAUAUUUUGAUAUUUAGAUAUUUGCACUUUUCUAGGCAAAAGAAAAUUUGCCUUUUAAAAAUGUUGUUAUUUCAAUCUUUAAAAUUACUUACUAAACAAAAUGGCUAAAUGGUUGUCUCGUCUCCCUGGUGUUGUUGAAUUGUCUUUGCAAUCAGAUUAUUUCAAGUAAUCUUUUUUUUAUAUUUUUAUGAUAAUUAAAAGUUUAAAGUGCUGUAUUUACUUUAAAAAUUAAAAUCAUAAAUAUUGGGUAAUGAUAGACUCCAUUUUGAUUUUCUUCUUAAAAUUUGUUUGAUUGACUUAGCUGUCAAGAUAUUUUUAUUUAUAUGAGCCAACACUUUAUGAAACAUGUAGAUUUUUGUGAAUGGAGACAAACAUAUACAUAUAGGUCUUUUCUUUCUAUGUUAAUAAAUUUCCCUAUUUACCAAAAAAUAAUAUAUUGUUAAAAAACAUAAAUUUUGU